rnacentral:misc_RNA from 1 species
AAUAGUUUCUCAUUAAUUAAUUAACAUUCCUGUGCCACUGUGUUUUCUGAGGGGCCUUUGUUAUGGCCCCACAAAAACUCUUUCAGAGCUGUUCUUCACAUCUCUCUCUCUCUGUCUCUCUCUUUCCCUCUGUUGCUUUCACUUUGCUUCUUAUAAAUGAAAAAAUAUAAAGCAGUAGUGAUGUGUUCUAAGCUUUAUGAUCGGUCAGAUAUAUUUAUAGGGCGAUUAACUCGCCAUUGGCUGACCUUCUGGACACGAG